CCUAGCAGAAGGCAUUAGUACCACCAGUUACACUGAUACACUACUGAAAUGUUUAUUUUGGAGCAUUAGGAAAAAACUUGGAAACCAAAGAGUAAUUUACAAUUGUUAGGGAGUUCACUGAGCCAUUUCGGUUAUAAUUUAUUAAUCCCAUUUUACCCACAAGGAGUUUUAAUCAGAUGAUUUACCAAUGUAUUGAGAAGUGCCACAAACUAGGAGAAAAAUAGAAGCAAACAUAUUAGUUCUUAUGAAUAAACCAAGCUUCUUCCUCGAAUUUUCUUCAGACAGUUUCUAAAUAAAGAGAUGUGCCAAGUUUACAGUAGACGGGCCAUUGCAUUUAUUGUUCCAUUGUUCUACAAGUUGAAAUCAAAUUGAAACAUGUUCCGUAAUGUCUCUCUGAAGUCAACAAGGCACAAUGAGCACUAGAAACAAUUUGUUAUUGUUUUAAGCUCUCGUUGGUGUCCACAAAUAACCUUAUGUGAAAAUGACACACAACAAUAAUUCACCUGAAGAGGGUGGUUAGGGUUUGGGGAUUGACUUCAGGAAUAAAGAUAGAUUUGGUCCAUACUACCUACACCCCACCAGUUGAGCUAGCCCAACACCUCAUCUGAUGACAAUAAUAAGAGGAAUAAUAAUUCAACAAGCUGAUGUUGCUGUAGUGUUUUAUAAUUUACAAAGAGGUUUUUAUUUACCUUAUUCAGAUUCUCCCACGAGCCCCUUGAGGUUGACGAGGCCAUGAUUAUAAAUUCCUCCUGUCACAAACAAGGAAACCAAGGCUUAGAGAGAUUGCACGGCACAGCUGAGACUGAAUUUCAAAUGUCUUGAUUCUCCGCAGAGUGACCUGUCCCCAUUCCAAUCUGGUCAUUUGGCAGGACUCUUGUUGCUGCGGGAGAAGAGUCCAAACAAAACAGAGGAUGGAUCCUGUCCACAUGCCCUUGACAUGUUCUGGGACAUGAUUCCCUGACACUCUCAUGUUAUGAAUUUCCUGAGGACUCUUCUGUGAUGACCUCUGUGUGCUUAACCAAUAUCGUAAGCAUCAAUUAUUUUGGAAUAAAACAAAAUAAAAUCAACCACAUAAAAAAACUUUUAUCAGAAAGCAUUUGGUACAGAGUUUGCUGGAAAAUUCCUCAUGUUUCAUGUCUCCUUUUUUUGAUCCCAUUUUUGAUUGACAGUGGAUGGAGGUGGUCAAUAUACCAGAGCGCCAUGAAGUGACAAAGAGCAUUUCUUGAAGAAACCUCAGCAGAGUGAUGGGUGAUCAUUUGGUUCGAUAACACCAAAGGCUGGAUGAAUUUACCCGGAGAGGACCGUAAUGAAAAUCUGAAAUAACCUUUAUAAUUUUCAAGUGAGGAAAUGAAGGCCAAACAUGAGAGGCUACAAUAAGAGUAUACUGGUUGUGGAUGUUUCCUGAUUUUAUGGCAUUAGUGUCUCCUGGCAUCUCAGUGGAGGACACCUCACUUUAGAUUUCAAUCCAAUGGAAUCUGGACUCUCUCUGAUCCCUCAGUGACUCGUCAGGCAUUGUGCCAAGAACAGGGGAUAUAAUGAUGAACAAGAAACAGAUACAAACAAAUAAGGGAUGAUCUGUGCUACUUUGAGGAAAAACUCAAAGCAACCAGGAAAGAAAGAAAAAUGAUGGAUCCGGGAGCAUGGUGGGUGUGUUGGGAGGUAGACAUACUUCAAAGAGGGACGUUACUAAGCAUACACAAAUGUUGUUGACCCAGCUUGGCCAACGCACCUAUCUGGAAGGUGAUGGUAUAGCCAUUCAGGCAAUGUUUAUGUAUUUAUGCACAAAAAAAAAAAUGUUAUCUCUCUGCCUCACAUGUAUUUUAUAAACACAAGCAAUUCCUUCUGUGUAUCACUGCCAUGAUGCUGGAAACACUGCAUCGCCAGUAACCAGCAGAGAACCUGGGACAUAGCAGGCAUGUGAUCAUGUUGAAUAACAACACUCACGAACAAAUGAAAGGCACUUUUAGAACAAUAGGAUGUUGAAUUUAUGGUGUCAUAAAAUAAAUCAGUUCCACAUUUUG